GAUGAACGCUGGCGGCGUGCCUAAUACAUGCAAGUCGAGCGAACGGACGAGAAGCUUGCUUCUCUGAUGUUAGCGGCGGACGGGUGAGUAACACGUGGAUAACCUACCUAUAAGACUGGGAUAACUUCGGGAAACCGUAGCUAAUACCGGAUAAUAUUUUGAACCGCAUGGUUCAAAAGUGAAAGACGGUCUUGCUGUCACUUAUAGAUGGAUCCGCGCUGCAUUAGCUAGUUGGUAAGGUAACGGCUUACCAAGGCAACGAUGCAUAGCCGACCUGAGAGGGUGAUCGGCCACACUGGAACUGAGACACGGUCCAGACUCCUACGGGAGGCAGCAGUAGGGAAUCUUCCGCAAUGGGCGAAAGCCUGACGGAGCAACGCCGCGUGAGUGAUGAAGGUCUUCGGAUCGUAAAACUCUGUUAUUAGGGAAGAACAUAUGUGUAAGUAACUGUGCACAUCUUGACGGUACCUAAUCAGAAAGCCACGGCUAACUACGUGCCAGCAGCCGCGGUAAUACGUAGGUGGCAAGCGUUAUCCGGAAUUAUUGGGCGUAAAGCGCGCGUAGGCGGUUUUUUAAGUCUGAUGUGAAAGCCCACGGCUCAACCGUGGAGGGUCAUUGGAAACUGGAAAACUUGAGUGCAGAAGAGGAAAGUGGAAUUCCAUGUGUAGCGGUGAAAUGCGCAGAGAUAUGGAGGAACACCAGUGGCGAAGGCGACUUUCUGGUCUGUAACUGACGCUGAUGUGCGAAAGCGUGGGGAUCAAACAGGAUUAGAUACCCUGGUAGUCCACGCCGUAAACGAUGAGUGCUAAGUGUUAGGGGGUUUCCGCCCCUUAGUGCUGCAGCUAACGCAUUAAGCACUCCGCCUGGGGAGUACGACCGCAAGGUUGAAACUCAAAGGAAUUGACGGGGACCCGCACAAGCGGUGGAGCAUGUGGUUUAAUUCGAAGCAACGCGAAGAACCUUACCAAAUCUUGACAUCCUCUGACAACUCUAGAGAUAGAGCCUUCCCCUUCGGGGGACAAAGUGACAGGUGGUGCAUGGUUGUCGUCAGCUCGUGUCGUGAGAUGUUGGGUUAAGUCCCGCAACGAGCGCAACCCUUAAGCUUAGUUGCCAUCAUUAAGUUGGGCACUCUAAGUUGACUGCCGGUGACAAACCGGAGGAAGGUGGGGAUGACGUCAAAUCAUCAUGCCCCUUAUGAUUUGGGCUACACACGUGCUACAAUGGACAAUACAAAGGGCAGCGAAACCGCGAGGUCAAGCAAAUCCCAUAAAGUUGUUCUCAGUUCGGAUUGUAGUCUGCAACUCGACUACAUGAAGCUGGAAUCGCUAGUAAUCGUAGAUCAGCAUGCUACGGUGAAUACGUUCCCGGGUCU
rnacentral:rRNA from 1 species